rnacentral:rRNA from 1 species
GGAAUUUUCCGCAAUGGGCUAAAGCCUGACGGAGCAAUACCGCGUGAGGGAUGACGGCCUGUGGGUUGUAAACCUCUUUUCUCAAGGAAGAAGUUCUGACGGUACUUGAGGAAUAAGCAUCGGCUAACUCUGUGCCAGCAGCCGCGGUAAUACAGAGGAUGCAAGCGUUAUCCGGAAUCACUGGGCAUAAAGCGUCUGUAGGUGGUUUGGUAAGUCUGCUGUUAAAGACUGGGGCUCAACCCCAGAAAAGCAGUGGAAACUGCUAGACUUGAGUGUGGUAGAGGUAGAGGGAGUUCCUAGUGUAGCGGUGAAAUGCGUAGAUAUUAGGAAGAACACCAAUGGCGAAAGCACUCUACUGGGCCAUAACUGACACUAAGAGACGACAGCUAGGGGAGCAAAUGGGAUUAGAUACCCCAGUAGUC